rnacentral:lncRNA from 1 species
GCGCGCUGAAGUUUCAACUCUAGCAGUUCUAUAGCAGUGACAGCAGCCAGGUGGCUUUAGAUCUAGGCUAGAGGGUGACCUGAUCCCACUGUGGACCGCAGGCUGCCAGACUCCAGGGUUGUUCUCAGCUAGUGAGAUCAGCUCUCAGAAACCCAGGUGGGAGUUGAUUUUCCGCUAUGCGCUCACUUCCGGAUUCCUGCCAACCUGCACUCUUGGUCUUGUCUGAGUCUCACCCUUCCACUCCCCACAACUGCCUCCCAGAGUUGCUUCUCAUCCUGGGGUUAUGGCGGGUUAAAUUUGGGGUUCCCUGUUCUUUUCUCAGGCUCUCGGGAUAGCUCAGUUACAAAACGUAGAUCUUCUCUGUCGAUGGCACGCAACCUCUGAGUCAUACAGAGGGAUCCCUGCCCGCUUCACCGAGGAGUCAUUGUCUCACCAAACCUCACAGCUAGUUUUGAGGCUUGUGAGUAUUGUGAGCUUGCCAUGAGGGAGGCCUGUCUUCACCAGAGCCGCUGGGUUUGCCUUUAGAAGCAGCCUCCUGCCUUCCUGUUCUCCUGUGGAGCUGCGGGUAUGGAGACAUGGUUCCUCUUGUCUUCUCUGUGACUCGUGGGUCCUUUCUUAAGACUUAGGCACCCCUACCCAUCACCACCUUCGAAAAGUUUUAAUCUGCAUAUCUCCUCCCCUUCUUUUCCACUAACUUACAAGUGGAAAAAUGCAGAUCAUGUGACCUGUCUCUGUCCAGUCCGGAUGUGUGUGGCUCAUGUCCCUGUGUUCUGUGUGGAUUUCCGGCAAGGGUUUCCUGCCAGAUUCAGAAGUUUAAGAAGACUCAUAUUGGCUCUUGGGUAGCUUGGGUUUUCUAUUAGGAGGCUGCUAUGUCAGGCAUUGGCUCUUCCUUGAUUUUGAGGUUUUGAUAGCAUGAGGUUAGGACGCACAGGAUAAAGCAGUUUCCUGAAAGUUCGGAUGGAGCUGUGCUUGAGAGGGCAACUUCUCUAAUCUCCUGGCUCCCCCCCCUCCCCCCACUGUUUCCAUGGCAGCGUCUGCUCUUGGAUUUCCUGGCUCUGUUUCCCUCCUGUUACAUGCACCUUCUUUCUUCUUAAAUUUUUUUUUCUAAUAUUUAUGUGUGUGUGUGUGUGUGUGUGUGUGUGUGUGUGUGUGUGUGUGUGUGCACAUGUGAACCAGUCGUGGCGUUCUUGUGAAUGUCAGGACAAUUUGCGGGAGUCAGUUUCCUCUUUCCAUCAUGUGUGUCGCUGGGAUUGAACUCAGAUCAGACUUUGACCCUUACCUUUUAUUGCCCGAGCCCUCCUUUCUACAGCUCCUCCAGCUUGGCUGCCCCAGCAUCUUCAGUUCCACUGUGGACUCCUUGCCUCCCAUGCCUCUGCCGCUGGCUGCUGGCUUCAGUGCUUCCCAGACACUCUGGGUUUCUUGGCGUUUUCCUGUUCUCAGGCCCGUGGGUGCUGUGGAUUGAACAUGCGUUCUCAUCACUAGAGGUCACACUGAAAGCUCCAGUGUAGGAGUGUUGAGAAGUCCUGGGACCUUUAAAAGACAGCCCUGGUCAUGUCCAGUCUGCUCGCCAUGUAUCCUGAGCUU